ensembl:lncRNA
CGUGGACACCAGACGCACCGCCGGCGCUCGGCCUUUAAUCACUGUCACACUUUAAACGGGUUCGCUCGCCGCGUUGCCUCUCAAUGCCAGGGUCCACUUACAAAUGUGUGAAUUUAACAAGUGUUUUAUGUUAAAGAGCUUUAAAGACGGUCUGGAUUCAGUUUGCUGAAACAGUUUAAAGUGAUAAAUGUUAUUUAUUUAUUAUUCUGUGAUUUUAAAGUUAAAAGUUGUCAUAUUUUAUUAAUUCAGUUCAUUUAUGUGCUUUUAUCUCCAAACAAGAACCUUAUUUUAAAGGUUUUGUGCCCCGCUAUGUGUGAAAAACACGCAAGUGAGUGCAAGGUCAAACUUUAUGAGCUCCAAGUUUUACACGAGGUGUCGAAAAAGGUGGCGGGAGGGUUCGGGGCAGGAGGCCGCUGGCGGCGGUUUAAAUAAAGAAUCAGACGGUAAAAAUGUGAAUGAAUGAGUUUAAAUGUUAAAAUGUGGUUCUGGUUGGUUCCACCUGCACACAGGUUGACAUUAAAGUCCACAUUAAAUCCCUUUAAGAUCCUCUUAUCCUCAUAGUGUUCCCAUAUUUAACAACAAAACCAGAAUGUCUUUGCAGCGAGAUCGACUCUCUGCUGUCAAUGUGAACGUUUAUGAAACACAAUCAUAAAGCUUCAGGAUAAAUAAUCCAGCUGUUUGAUCCAGUGGUUGGUCGGUGGGUUGGGUAACUCUGGAUGAAGGUUAAUACCUGAAUCAUCAUUAUGUCGGAUUAUUAAAGGACGAGUAUCAAAGUGACCACAACAAAGAAAUAAAGUAGGAGCAGGUGUGCUGCGCUGUGAUUGGUUCCUUCAGUGUUUCCUCCUCAGCAGAUAUGUGGAAGCUCUCAACCUUGCCUCCUGACCCUCAUUCUGCAGGAGGAGAUAAUUGCUUGUCAGGAAUAAAUAGAGAGAUUAAUGAAUUCAUUAGCGGUGGGGAGUUUAGCUCUUCGGAGCAGCACUUACCGCUAUGACACAUCACGCCUAUUGUUUUACUAGCUAGUUAGCCUCGAACAAUAACAUUCACACAGCAAAUUGCCUCAUACGCUCGUGUAAACCACAGAGAAACUGUGUCCUUAUCCCAGAAUUUAGCAAUAAUGCAAACAAAAGGCUCCUUAAAUCCCGAUUAUUCAUCUUAAUUACUUUUGUCUAUAAGAGCCGGUGUCUGCGGGAGCCGCUGCGAGACAGGACGCAUUAAUCCACAUUAGCCGUGAACACUGUACCGGGUGAUGUGUGCGGUUUCACUGUGGCACUACAGUUUGUGCCAGAUAGGUACUAUCUCCACUUAAUUAGCUGCAGCUCUAAAGAGUUUAAAGGCUUCAAACACAGACGGCGAAGCUUCAACAAUUAAAUAUAUAUAAGUUCAGUUUCUGAUUCAAAGUCAGAGUUUAUUCUAAAAAAUAAAGUUUAUUUAGUUUGAUUCUUUGAUUUAAAACUCCAGUGUGAAACAUUAUUGUCAGAAAUAUAAUAUUUAAUGUUUAAUGUUUUCAUUAGACUGUGAAACUUGAUGAGUUUAUUAACUUAAUUUAAACAUGAAAGAUGUUCAUUGUUGAGGUAAUUUGGAUAAAUUAAGUUAAUUGAAGCUGAAACUAAACUUAUUUAAACUGUAAACAGAAUUUAUCUGAAUAAAGUAACUUAAAUCUUCUUUAUACAAAUGUUAAUUAUAACUUUAUCUGUGAGAACAGCUGACGUAAAAUAAAAACUAUUUAUAAUUAACUUUUUAUUAAAAUGGAGCCAAUUCAUUUUCAGUUUUUUUAUGAGACAAACAUCAAAUAUUUACACUUUAGGAUCAUUAAUAAUUAUCUGGACGCAUAUUUGAACUUAUGAUAAUUAAUAAACUGUAAUAAAAACAAAAAAUGUAAAAUCUUGAGUUAUUCAACAUUAUAAUACUUUAUGUUAUAAUAAUAUAAAGUCUAGUUAAAGAAAAUGAGUCAAUGGAACAAACUGGAAUUAAAAUACUAAACAAUAAUUCAUUUCUCAGUUAAUUCAGGUGAUGUGAUUAAUUUAUGUUAAUUAACUUUAAUUAACUUUAAUAAUCGUGACAAACACAGCAGGUAUUAGGUACUAGAUAUAUAUAUAUCGAUAUAAUAAUAUAUAUAUAUAAUGAGACUUGCAGUGACGUGGUGACCAGUUCUUGCAAAUAAGUGAAGCUAAUGUUUUAUUAACAGUUUUUGAUGCGUUAACUUCAAUAAAAAUCCCCUCAGACGUUUAUUCAAAUACAAAUAAUCUGCUUGGAUCAAUAAUGUCUGAUAUAAAAAGUAUAAUUCCCUCAUUAAAAGUAACAGAAUCUGGAUCCAUAUCUGAUCAGCACAGUUUGAUCUGAGUUUGGUUGAGCUGGACGGACUCACUGAGAAUGAGCUGUCAAUCACAAGGUAGCCCCGCCCUAAAGCAUACCCUGCUUUAUGGUCUGUUUUACUCUAAAUGGGACCAUCAGUUACUAAAUGAACAUCAUGCUGUAUGGAAGAAGACUGAAACUAGAGACUGAGACCAGAAACUCAUCAGGAAACUGUUUACUGAGCUCAUAAAUCAACUGAGAAGUCGAC